GCAUAUUAGUAGGCGGUGGAAGAUAAUCCAAAAGGGAUUCCUUCAGUAAUGGCGAAUGAACGGGGAAUAGCUCAGCAAAGAAAUCGAGGACUCUGGCCUUGAGUUGUGGACUUGAGAGGUAUCGCCAAUGGUGGCACAGGUGGGGGCCUCUUGGAAAAGGGCACCACAGAGGGUGUGAGUCCUGUUUGCCAUCUGUAGUCCGCCGUGUACGGCAUGCCUCCUCAGAGUCACGUUCCUUGGAAUUGGAGCGCGAAGGUGGUGGUGGCUUUCAUCUCAAGCUAAGUAUGGGUUCGAGACCGAUAGCAAACAAGUACCAUGAGGGAAAAUUGAAAAGAGCUUUGGAAAGAGAGUUAAAAGUGCCCGAACUUGCUGAUAGGGAAGCGAAGGGAGCUGACGUUGCUUGGUAACAUCUUCUACGCAAGACUAGGAUGGGUUCUGAUUGCAAUGUGUGUAGUGUUUCUUGCCGUGCGUGUCGAUGCCAAGCAAUGAGUGGGGAGAGCUCCAGGGAUGUGAUUGUUUCUGUCUCCGGGUAGACGAAGGUGCCUGGUUGCAUCCAUUCGUGGGCUGAAAAAUUGGUGGCUGGUCGCAGCACUCCCUUGCCACUCAAGGCAAUUGGAGUGUAGCCCUGACAUGCAGACGAGGACAAAGUGCUUCUGUUCGACCCGUCUUG
rnacentral:rRNA from 2 species